UACGUAGGGUCCGAGCGUUGUCCGGAAUUAUUGGGCGUAAAGAGCUCGUAGGCGGUUUGUCGCGUCUGCUGUGAAAUCCCGAGGCUCAACCUCGGGCCUGCAGUGGGUACGGGCAGACUGGAGUGCGGUAGGGGAGAAUGGAAUUCCUGGUGUAGCGGUGGAAUGCGCAGAUAUCAGGAGGAACACCGAUGGCGAAGGCGGUCUGCUGGGCAGUUGCUGACACUGAGGCGCGACAGCGUGGGGAGCAAACAGG
rnacentral:rRNA from 1 species